CAAUAUAGUGCCUGAUAAAAGGAAAGUGCCGAUAAGACUUAUAAUGUGGGGUCUCCCACCUAUAUU
rnacentral:tRNA from 1 species